rnacentral:rRNA from 1 species
GACGAACGCUGGCGGCGUGCUUAACACAUGCAAGUCGAACGGAGUUUAAGAGGAAGCUUGCGAAUCUUAAACUUAGUGGCGGACGGGUGAGUAACGCGUGGAUAACCUGCCUGAAUGACUGGGACAACACCGGGAAACUGGUGCUAAUACCGGAUACGCUCACCAUUGCGCAGGCAAAGGUGAGGAAAGGAGAAAUCCGCAUACAGAUGGGUCCGCGUCCCAUUAGCUAGUUGGCGGUGUAAGAGACCACCAAGGCGACGAUGGGUAGCCGGCCUGAGAGGGUGGACGGCCACACUGGAACUGAGACACGGUCCAGACUCCUACGGGAGGCUG